CCUGAUGCAGCAACGCCGCGUGAACGAUGAAGGUCUUCGGAUCGUAAAGUUCUGUUGCAGGGGAAGAUAAUGACGGUACCCUGUGAGGAAGCCCCGGCUAACUACGUGCCAGCAGCCGCGGUAAUACGUAGGGGGCUAGCGUUAUCCGGAUUUACUGGGCGUAAAGGGUGCGUAGGUGGUCCUUCAAGUCGGUGGUUAAAGGCUACGGCUCAACCGUAGUAAGCCGCCGAAACUGGAGGACUUGAGUGCAGGAGAGGAAAGUGGAAUUCCCAGUGUAGCGGUGAAAUGCGUAGAUAUUGGGAGGAACACCAGUAGCGAAGGCGGCUUUCUGGACUGCAGCUGACACUGAGGCACGAAAGCGUGGGUAACAAACAGGAUUAGAUACCCUGGUAGUCCACGCUGUAAACGAUGAGUACUAGGUGUCGGGGGUUACCCCCCUCGGUGCCGCAGCUAACGCAUUAAGUACUCCGCCUGGGGAGUACGCACGCAAGUGUGAAACUCAAAGGAAUUGACGGGGGACCCGCACAAGUAGCGGAGCAUGUGGUUUAAUUCGAAGCAACGCGAAGAACCU
rnacentral:rRNA from 1 species